rnacentral:rRNA from 1 species
AGAACGAACGCUGGCGGCAGGCCUCAAACAUGCAAGUCUAGGGGACGUAGCAAUACGUCACCGGCGGACGGGUGCGUAACACGUGGGAAUGUACUUACUGGUUCGGAACAACUCAGGGGAAACUUGAGCUAAUACCGAAUGUGCCCGAAAGGGGAAAGAUUUAUCGCCAGUAAAUCAGCCCGCGUCCGAUUAGCUAGUUGGUGGGGUAAAGGCUCACCAAGGCGACGAUCGGUAGCUGUUCUGAGAGGAAGAUCAGCCACACUGGGACUGAGACACGGCCCAGACUCCUACGGGAGGCAGCAGUUGGGAAUCUUGGACAUGGGGGAAACCCUGAUCCAGCCAUGCCGCGUGAGUGAUGAAGGCCUUCGGGUUGUAAACUCUUUCGACGGGGACGAUAAUGACGGUACCCGUAGAAGAAGCUCCGGCUAACGUUCGUGCCAGCAGCCGC